rnacentral:rRNA from 1 species
GACAGAGGGUGCAAACGUUGUUCGGAUUUACUGGGCGUAAAGCGCGUGUAGGCGGCUUUGCAAGUCGGAUGUGAAAGCCCACGGCUCAACCGUGGAAGUGCAUCCGAAACUGCAUGGCUGGAGUCUCGGAGAGGAAGGUGGAAUGCUUGGUGUAGAGGUGAAAUUCGUAGAUAUUCGCAAGAACACCAGUGGCGAAGGCGGCUCACUGGCCCGGUACUGACGCUGAGGUGCGAAAGCGUGGGGAGCAAACAGG